GGCAGAAGGUAAAAAAAUCCUCGAUUUUUUCUUAAAAGUAUAAAUGAGCCCUUUUACUUUUCUUAGGCACAAUUAAAUACUCGUGUUUUUAAAAUUGAACAAUUAAACCCUCGUUAUUUUAAAAUCGAAUAAAUAAACCUUUAUAGUUAUUUUUGGGACACUUAUCCCCUCAAAGUUUUGAUAAAUAAUUUAGAUAUUAAAAUUAUUUUUGAAAUUUUUUCCUAUAUAAUUAUGAGAGAUAUGUCAGCCAUUAACGAGUGUUUCUAAUAGUGUUGGACGAUAGGGUUUAUUUGUUUUAUUUGAAAACAAAGAGGGCUUAAUUAUACCCAAAAAAAGUAAAAGGGUUGAUUUGUACAUUUGUAAUAACUACGAGGUUUUUUUUACCAUAAUAUGUAUAUUAAAGGCCACCAGGAGUGGCAAAAGACCGACGAUCAAAGCUUUCGCACAACAAGUGAUUUACAAAGAAGCACAUUAAAAGCAUAGGUAAAGAGCGGCGGAACAAAAAUCAAAGGUCUGAGAACAAAAUACAUCAUACUCUCUUGCUAAUAAUUUAUCAGUUGGAUCGGGCUCAUUUUUGGAUAUGAUGUGCACGACAAAAAGUUGACCGUUGGAUCAAAAUUUGAGGCGCUUUGGAGGAGUGAUGGAGUGCACAAUCGUGCACUCAAGUGCACAAACUUGCACUGUGCUGUUACGGGAUUUCAGGUAUUUAAAUAGACCUCUUACGUUUUUAAAAUCCUAUUUUUCAUAGUCUAUUGUUUUCUAUCAACCCUAGCCGACUCAAACACUCUGAAAUAUUCUACCAUCAUCCCUUAUCAUUAGCUUUCGCAUUCGCGAAUUUCUGAGAUUGUUGCUACGUUACAUCAGUAGGCUAUAUCCUCCUUAAUCUCUACGCUUCGAAAUCAAUUAAGACCCGUCGACUGCUCGUACUUCGGAGUCUACGCAGGUUAGCUGUUUGCAAAAAUUCACGUGGAUAAGCAAACAAUUGGAACGAGCUGCUCGAUAGGCUUGUAUCGAGACUGUGUGCACCGGUUUAUGAUUUGAAAGCUGGUCCACUCCGAUCCUUUUGAUUCCUCGAAGGUUUUAUGUUAUUAAACUAGUCAUUGUUUUCGAACUCUUAGACCGCAGUAGAACUAGUUUAUAUAUUACUUUGUUUAUUGUAUAUUGGGAUUGUCGGUUUGUCUGAUUGUUUAUUGGAAUGUUUACUCUGGAUUAUUUUAUUAUUAUAUUUAAGGCA